rnacentral:ncRNA from 1 species
GGCUCCGGUGGCGCUGGCCCCUUCAAGAACCCAUAACCGUGGGGAAAUAACCAACCAACCCAAACCAAACCCGCGGGCUCGCACGCCUGUGUCACACGGUGGGGUGAUCCAGCGGCUCUGGGCUGGCUUUUCCACAGCGAUGCGGUGCAGGCUCAGCGGCAGCACCACAAACUUUCCGCAAAAGCAAUGGCCCCCGGCGGGACUGCCAUCCCGGUCGAGGGCCUGACCACCCAGGAAGUCGAGCCUUCCCG